UUGGCGGUGUACUCCCAGGUCGAAUCGGCGCUGAGCAGACACUGCUCGCCGAACCGGUCGCCGUCGCCCAGCACGCCGAGCCGGGUCGGCUCGCCGUACGGACCGCUGCCGGUCUUGACGACCUUGCCGUGCGCGAUCAGAUAGAUGUGAUCGGCCGCGGUGCCCUCCUCCGCCAGCACCUCACCGGCCUCGAAGUCGCGCUGCACGAAACGGUUGGCGAGCGCCGUCAGCACGCCCACGUCCUCGAAGCCGCGCAACACCGCGAGCUCCCCGAGCUCACGCGGAAUGACCUGCACCCGCGAACCGGUCUGCACAAACUCGAUACGGCCGUCCCCGACGGUGUAGGUGAGGCGCCGGUUGACCCGGUACACCCCGCCGUCGGUCUGCACCCAGGGGAGCACCUUGAGCAGCCAGCGGGAGGUGAUCCCCUGCAUCUGCGGAACGGACUUGGUGGUGGUGGCGAGGUUGCGUGCGGCGGCGGUGCCGAGGCUGAGCUGCUCCUGCCG
rfam:Streptomyces bingchenggensis BCW-1, complete genome.